rnacentral:rRNA from 1 species
AAAUUGAAGAGUUUGAUCAUGGCUCAGAUUGAACGCUGGCGGCAGGCCUAACACAUGCAAGUCGAACGGUAACAGGAAGCAGCUUGCUGCUUUGCUGACGAGUGGCGGACGGGUGAGUAAUGUCUGGGAAACUGCCUGAUGGAGGGGGAUAACUACUGGAAACGGUGGCUAAUACCGCAUAACGUCGCAAGACCAAAGAGGGGGACCUUCGGGCCUCUUGCCAUCAGAUGUGCCCAGAUGGGAUUAGCUUGUUGGUGAGGUAACGGCUCACCAAGGCGACGAUCCCUAGCUGGUCUGAGAGGAUGACCAGCCACACUGGAACUGAGACACGGUCCAGACUCCUACGGGAGGCAGCAGUGGGGAAUAUUGCACAAUGGGCGCAAGCCUGAUGCAGCCAUGCCGCGUGUAUGAAGAAGGCCUUCGGGUUGUAAAGUACUUUCAGCGGGGAGGAAGGUGUUGUGGUUAAUAACCGCAGCAAUUGACGUUACCCGCAGAAGAAGCACCGGCUAACUCCGUGCCAGCAGCCGCGGUAAUACGGAGGGUGCAAGCGUUAAUCGGAAUUACUGGGCGUAAAGCGCACGCAGGCGGUCUGUCAAGUCGGAUGUGAAAUCCCCGGGCUCAACCUGGGAACUGCAUUCGAAACUGGCAGGCUUGAGUCUUGUAGAGGGGGGUAGAAUUCCAGGUGUAGCGGUGAAAUGCGUAGAGAUCUGGAGGAAUACCGGUGGCGAAGGCGGCCCCCUGGACAAAGACUGACGCUCAGGUGCGAAAGCGUGGGGAGCAAACAGGAUUAGAUACCCUGGUAGUCCACGCCGUAAACGAUGUCUACUUGGAGGUUGUGCCCUUGAGGCGUGGCUUCCGGAGCUAACGCGUUAAGUAGACCGCCUGGGGAGUACGGCCGCAAGGUUAAAACUCAAAUGAAUUGACGGGGGCCCGCACAAGCGGUGGAGCAUGUGGUUUAAUUCGAUGCAACGCGAAGAACCUUACCUGGUCUUGACAUCCACAGAAGAAUCCAGAGAUGGAUUGGUGCCUUCGGGAACUGUGAGACAGGUGCUGCAUGGCUGUCGUCAGCUCGUGUUGUGAAAUGUUGGGUUAAGUCCCGCAACGAGCGCAACCCUUAUCCUUUGUUGCCAGCGAUUAGG